GACGAACGCUGGCGGCGUGCCUAAUACAUGCAAGUAGAACGCUGAAGAGAGGAGCUUACUCUUCUUGGAUGAGUUGCGAACGGGUGAGUAACGCGUAGGUAACCUGCCUUGUAGCGGGGGAUAACUAUUGGAAACGAUAGCUAAUACCGCAUAAAAAUGGAUGACACAUGAUAUUUAUUUGAAAGGGGCAAUUGCUCCACUACAAGAUGGACCUGCGUUGUAUUAGCUAGUAGGUGAGGUAAUGGCUCACCUAGGCGACGAUACAUAGCCGACCUGAGAGGGUGAUCGGACACACUGGGACUGAGACACGGCCCAGACUCCUACGGGAGGCAGCAGUAGGGAAUCUUCGGCAAUGGGGGCAACCCUGACCGAGCAACGCCGCGUGAGUGAAGAAGGUUUUCGGAUCGUAAAGCUCUGUUGUAAGUCAAGAACGGGUGUGAGAGUGGAAAGUUCACACUGUGACGGUAGCUUACCAGAAAGGGACGGCUAACUACGUG
rnacentral:rRNA from 1 species